rnacentral:sRNA from 1 species
AAGCGGGGAAGGAUGAGAAGCUUCGACUAAGGUUCGACUCGAGCGCCAGCGAGAGAGCGUUGCCGCAGGCAACGACCCGAAGGGCGAAGCGCGCAGCGCUGAGUAAUCCUUCCCCCACCACCA